AAAUUGAAGAGUUUGAUCAUGGCUCAGAUUGAACGCUGGCGGCAGGCCUAACACAUGCAAGUCGAACGGUAACAGGAAACAGCUUGCUGUUUCGCUGACGAGUGGCGGACGGGUGAGUAAUGUCUGGGAAACUGCCUGAUGGAGGGGGAUAACUACUGGAAACGGUAGCUAAUACCGCAUAACGUCGCAAGACCAAAGAGGGGGACCUUCGGGCCUCUUGCCAUCGGAUGUGCCCAGAUGGGAUUAGCUAGUAGGUGGGGUAAAGGCUCACCUAGGCGACGAUCCCUAGCUGGUCUGAGAGGAUGACCAGCCACACUGGAACUGAGACACGGUCCAGACUCCUACGGGAGGCAGCAGUGGGGAAUAUUGCACAAUGGGCGCAAGCCUGAUGCAGCCAUGCCGCGUGUAUGAAGAAGGCCUUCGGGUUGUAAAGUACUUUCAGCGGGGAGGAAGGGAGUAAAGUUAAUACCUUUGCUCAUUGACGUUACCCGCAGAAGAAGCACCGGCUAACUCCGUGCCAGCAGCCGCGGUAAUACGGAGGGUGCAAGCGUUAAUCGGAAUUACUGGGCGUAAAGCGCACGCAGGCGGUUUGUUAAGUCAGAUGUGAAAUCCCCGGGCUCAACCUGGGAACUGCAUCUGAUACUGGCAAGCUUGAGUCUCGUAGAGGGGGGUAGAAUUCCAGGUGUAGCGGUGAAAUGCGUAGAGAUCUGGAGGAAUACCGGUGGCGAAGGCGGCCCCCUGGACGAAGACUGACGCUCAGGUGCGAAAGCGUGGGGAGCAAACAGGAUUAGAUACCCUGGUAGUCCACGCCGUAAACGAUGUCGACUUGGAGGUUGUGCCCUUGAGGCGUGGCUUCCGGAGCUAACGCGUUAAGUCGACCGCCUGGGGAGUACGGCCGCAAGGUUAAAACUCAAAUGAAUUGACGGGGGCCCGCACAAGCGGUGGAGCAUGUGGUUUAAUUCGAUGCAACGCGAAGAACCUUACCUGGUCUUGACAUCCACGGAAGUUUUCAGAGAUGAGAAUGUGCCUUCGGGAACCGUGAGACAGGUGCUGCAUGGCUGUCGUCAGCUCGUGUUGUGAAAUGUUGGGUUAAGUCCCGCAACGAGCGCAACCCUUAUCCUUUGUUGCCAGCGGUCCGGCCGGGAACUCAAAGGAGACUGCCAGUGAUAAACUGGAGGAAGGUGGGAUGACGUCAAGUCAUCAUGGCCCUUACGACCAGGGCUACACACGUGCUACAAUGGCGCAUACAAAGAGAAGCGACCUCGCGAGAGCAAGCGGACCUCAUAAAGUGCGUCGUAGUCCGGAUUGGAGUCUGCAACUCGACUCCAUGAAGUCGGAAUCGCUAGUAAUCGUGGAUCAGAAUGCCACGGUGAAUACGUUCCCGGGCCUUGUACACACCGCCCGUCACACCAUGGGAGUGGGUUGCAAAAGAAGUAGGUAGCUUAACCUUCGGGAGGGCGCUUACCACUUUGUGAUUCAUGACUGGGGUGAAGUCGUAACAAGGUAACCGUAGGGGAACCUGCGGUUGGAUCACCUCCUUACCUUAAAGAAGC
rnacentral:rRNA from 1 species